rnacentral:rRNA from 1 species
GCAAGUCGAAACGAGAAACUUCCCGCUUGCGGGAGGGAGUAAAGUGGCGAACGGGUGAGUAACGCGUGGGUAACCUGCCCUUGAACCUGGGAUAACUUCGCGAAAGCGUUGCUAAUACCGGAUAAUGCCUUGAGGACUUCGGUUUUUGAGGUGAAAGGUGACCUAUCCAUGGAAGUUGCCGUUCAGGGAGGGGCCCGCGUCCCAUUAGCUUGUUGGUAGGGUAAAAGCCUACCAAGGCGAUGAUGGGUAGCUGGUCUGAGAGGAUGAUCAGCCACACUGGCACUGAAACACGGGCCAGACUCCUACGGGAGGCAGCAGUGAGGAAUUUUGCGCAAUGGGGGAAACCCUGACGCAGCAACGCCGCGUGAGUGAAGAAGGCUUUCGGGUCGUAAAGCUCUGUCAAGAGGGAAAAAAGUUUUGCGGUGAAUAGCCGCAAGACCUGAUGGUACCUUUAGAGGAAGCACCGGCUAACUCCGUGCCAGCAGCCGCGGUAAUACGGAGGGUGCGAGCGUUGUUCGGAAUUACUGGGCGUAAAGCGCGUGCAGGCGGUUUGGCAAGUCAGAUGUGAAAGCCCAGGGCUCAACCCUGGAAGUGCAUUUGAAACUGCCAUUCUAGAGUAUGGGAGAGGAGAGUGGAAUUCCCAGUGUAGAGGUGAAAUUCGUAGAUAUUGGGAGGAACACCCGUGGCGAAGGCGACUCUCUGGACCAAUACUGACGCUGAAACGCGAAAGCGUGGGGAGCAAACAGGAUUAGAUACCCUGGUAGUCCACGCCGUAAACGAUGAGCACUAGGUGUAGCGG